GCGAAUGAAUAUUAUUUAGGAAGAAUAAUAAAAGAACGCCGUGAGUGAUACAUUUGAAAUGCAGUUUACGCACGCCAUUAAACUUGCAAUAAUGGCGUCCUCUCCUUGAAAUUUUUUGGCCAAAUAUAUCUGAAGCCUUCUCUCCCUCUCUUCCCCAAUUUCCCUGCACCAGAUCCCAUUCCAUGUCGACCCUCCACUCCCAACCCUAUCCCCGCCGCCCAGCCUUCCCUCCUCAUCUCCGGAGAGACCCCCUUCGUCGAGGAGCUCACCACUCGCGUCGCCCAGAUUGUCCGCGUCCUCGGUGGUCCGGCCGUCGGAGAUACACAGUCCAGAUGCAUGAGAUUGGCCGGUAAAACCCCCUCCGAGGCGGUCGCCGUCCGGCAAUUGCUUGGUCAUCGUUUACCACUUGAUGCACGGCAAGCCAAAUCUGAAUGGUGUUACUGUGGCGGGGUAUUGAGUCAAAGUAUGACAUUGUGGAAGGAGAGAGCACUCCUUCUGGACAGGAGUAACAAAGCCCUAUAUAUAGGGAGACCGUUCGAGCUUUUCUGGUUUAUUUUCAGAAUCAGAAUGGCAGGCUUUGUACACCACACAGCUAACUCAGAAGCCGAAGAAGUAUCAUGAUGGUUUCUUGCAACUAGCAAUUACUGGGUCUCGUGGAAAGCAGGACAAUAAGCGUAGACGAGUAGUCUAGUUUUGCUUGGAAGAGAAUGAGAGCUUGCAUUUUGAAUUUAUGAGGGAAGCAUUCACUUCUGCAUUUUCAAAGGAGCAAGCUAGUGCGCUGGUGUUGCCCGCUGCCAGAUAAAUCUGGUUCUUGUGAUAAGGUGCAAAUUCAAUUGGCACCUGAGAAAUGUAUUAGUUUUUCCUCUUCCUUAGUUGACUUGUUUAAAGGUUGCUAAAUUGUCUGACUAAAAGAACAUUGCUGAAUGGAGUUUUCUCAUUCCUUUUA